rnacentral:rRNA from 1 species
GGAAGUAAAAGUCGUAACAAGGUUUCCGUAGGUGAACCUGCGGAAGGAUCAUUAUCGUUGGGCUUCGGCCCAUUCGAGAUAACACCCUUGCCUUUUUGAGUACCUUUUCGUUUCCUCGGCAGGCUCGCCUGCCAACGGGGACCCUUCAAAACGCUUUGUAAUACCUGUAACUGUCUGAUAUAACAAGCAAAAAUCAAAACUUUCAACAACGGAUCUCUUGGUUCUGGCAUCGAUGAAGAACGCAGCGAAAUGCGAUAAGUAGUGUGAAUUGCAGAAUUCAGUGAAUCAUCGAAUCUUUGAACGCACAUUGCGCCCUUUGGUAUUCCUUAGGGCAUGCCUGUUCGAGCGUCAUUUAAACCUUCAAGCUCAGCUUGGUGAUGGGUGACUGUCCUCCCCUCGCGGGGGGGACUCGCCUCAAAAACAUUGGCGGCCGGUACAUUGGCUUCGAGCGCAGCAGAAACGCGGUCUCGAGUCCGGUGGAUCGGCUCCCAUAAGCCUUCUUUUUUAUUUUGACCUCGGAUCAGGUAGGGAUACCCGCUGAACUUAAGCAUAUCAAUAAGCGGA